CGAACAGACAGGGCGGGCACUGGAGCGGUCUAGGGUUCCAGGCAAGAGUUGAGAUAGGUUGAGUCCAGCGCACUUACCCACUUCGUUGACGUGAAUGGUACGGCGGUAGCGUGAAGCGCCCGAGGAGGCCGCAGUGACGUGCAGCUCUAGGGGCACGAAGCUCGACGUGUCGGCUGUAGGCAGCGAGCACCAGAAACGCACCAAGCCCCGGGCGGUGGGCGCCUGAUGCAGGCGGCAUGGCUUCCACGGCUCACCCCUGUUCAACCAGGAACCA